rnacentral:lncRNA from 10 species
UGUAGAGCAAGUAACACUGAACUUUGAGGUUUAGGCAGCUUUAAAUUAAAAAACAAAAUCAAAUUGUAUUGUUGUCUCUGUACUUCAGUCAGAACAUUAAACUGCUGUUGUUACAUUUUAUGUCAAAAUGCGAGUAGCUGUUAAAAUGGUUAUUCAGAUAUAUGCAACUGAAAGCCGUGAGUGUUGAGGUUUUUCAUGAGAAGAAUUUAACCACUUGUACAAUGCAGCUUAUUGCAGUUCUCUCGGGGGCUGGUCUGGUGGCUAAUGCACUAGUUUGUUGGCCACUUUGAUCCUGGCUGCCCUGUUUUAAGUCUUGCUAUGACUGGUUAAGCUAGUGCUCUGUAACCCCGGGGAUAACUUGAGGGUUCUGAAAGUCAUGAGGCACGGUCCCCAAGAUCAAAAUAUAAAAAUAGGUCUGGGGUCAGGGAACUCAACAGGCCCUGGAAGCUCUUCACUUUUACAGCUGGAGAUGGUCUCUUAUGUAUUUAGAAUUCGUCAUUAGGAUUCUGACAAAGAACUGCAGUAUGGGAUUGCUGCAGGGCAGGCUGUUUGAAUCUUACUCUUGAUAACAAAAAAAACCCCAACUUCUGGCUGCUGACAGGAGACAAGAGAGAUAGCUCCCUCCACUUCAGUCUAUAAUACAAACGAAGAUCAGCCAUUUGUUGCAUCCGAGGUAAACUGGCCUGGAUUUGUGGUCUGAGUUCACCAUAUUUCCACAGUAUGACAUUGAAGAAGAAAGGAAUUUUACUUGUCACUUGAUAGUUAUUGUCUCAUGACACUAAGCUAUGACUUGGAGACAAAGGCCAAGUCAAGCCCCACUGUGAGAUUCAAUGAUUCCUUGGUGGAGAAAGAAGCAUUUGAUGUGGAGCCUGACACACCUGGAACAAGAUGUCUCCAGAGUUAAAUACAUGAAUUAAAUGCAAUUUCAAUGGAUGUCCCAAUGUUUUAAAUUGAAUAACAUGACUUUAAAGAAGAUAUGGGAAACUUCAACUCCCAGAAAAAUGAAGUAGAUACAUACUUCUCUAUUCCUUCCACUAAGUACAACUGAAAACCGUGACACUAUAUAUAAAACAAACAUAAGAAGACUCUGAAAGGCAAGAAUGGGUUUUCUUUUGCCUCCUUUAUUCCAGACUUGUAACUGAAGAAGCCAUCAACCAAGAAAUUUCCAACAGACCCAGAUGGAAAAAGUCCCAGUGAAAGCCUGUUCUUUAGCCAAAGGGGCCAGAAAAGAGCAAGAUAGCAGGACAAGAUCUCUGCCAUCAUGUGAGAGAGAGCCUGAGUUAGCCUGCUGGAUGGUCAAAGAUGAGUGGUGCAGCUAAGUGAAAGCCUGCUGACUUGUAGACAUAUGAGUAAGGCCAUGCUUGAUCACCUGGCUGCCAGCUGGCCUGCCAACUAAUUGCAGGUACUUGAAAGAGUCCAGCAGAGAUCAGCCACCCCAGGUCAAAUAAACACCCAGCCCCCUCCCUGAGAAUGAUGAACUAAAUAAAUGUCUUAAGUACUAAGUUUUGGGUGUUUGCUACAUAGCAAAAGCUAAUUGAUACUGUUCCCAAGGAGUGGAAAACUUCUGUAACAAAAAACAAAAAAUUCUGGCAUUGGUUUUGGGAUUGGGCAAUGGGUAGAGGCUAGAAAAAUGGCAAGGAAGCUGCCAUAGCAACCUAGAAAAAUGGCAACCCAUGCUAUAAAAUAGGGCAAUUGGUCAAUAAUUUUUGAAGUGGUUUGUUAUGCAGCAAUAGCCUACUGAUACACCAUGUGAAUUAUAGCAAGGAAUAGCUAAGGCAAAACAAAACAUUGGAUGAGUAGCAUAGUUCAUUCUAAAGAACCACUAAGGCUUGCUCAGGAAUAUGUACUAAUUCAGGUGGCAUCUGUUAACUAUCACUGAGCAUAAUAUUGGAGGAUAAAUCUGCUUUGCUUAUUGCCACCCCCGUAGCUUAGAAGCUACUCCUAAAACAGCAAGGAUGUCACUGUGGCAGUGGGCAAGGAUUAAUUCCCUCAUUUAUUUAUUCAUUUAUUAAUUCAACAAA